UACGGGAGGCAGCAGUGGGGAAUAUUGGACAAUGGGCGAAAGCCUGAUCCAGCCAUGCCGCGUGUGUGAAGAAGGCCUUUUGGUUGUAAAGCACUUUAAGCGAGGAGGAGGCUACUUAGAUUAAUACUCUAGGAUAGUGGACGUUACUCGCAGAAUAAGCACCGGCUAACUCUGUGCCAGCAGCCGCGGUAAUACAGAGGGUGCGAGCGUUAAUCGGAUUUACUGGGCGUAAAGCGUGCGUAGGCGGCUUCUUAAGUCGGAUGUGAAAUCCCUGAGCUUAACUUAGGAAUUGCAUUCGAUACUGGGAAGCUAGAGUAUGGGAGAGG
rnacentral:rRNA from 1 species